UUGGCACAUCUGAUUGAUAAAAUAAAACAUUCUGCACCCGGCCAUGGCAUUAGAUUAUAUGCUAAUCACACAGCUUCAUUCUUUAAUCUCCUCUCGUAGAAUGCCAACAUCUUCUCUAAUCUUGUCACCUAACAUGAAGCCAUGAAGCAAUUAAACCCACAGGUGCUGCCAAAUGGCAAAAAAAAUCGUGUCCUCACGACUUGCUUAGUUCCCUUUGGUAGGAGUGAUGGUGUGCCAUGUAAAAUAUCUGCAAAUUAAACAGGCAGUUGGGCAGUUAUGGACAAAACAAAUAAACUAGAAUUUCGUCAUUUGAAUAGAACACACGGCAAAUGUUUAAAACAAUGCUGUGCCGGAGAGAGAGAAUCGUUUGCAAUUUUCAAUUGAAGACCACUACUUAGGAAAAUAUGAAAUGUACUUGGAUGGCAAUUGCUACCUAUACAAUGUCAGAACCAUGUGGAUCCUCUCAUACCAAUUCCUUGGAAGCAGCAAGUGUCAGACGCCUGCAAAAGCAAUUUCCAUAUCAUUAUAUAGCCUUGCAAACAUUUAGUAGGUGAAUCUAAACUAAUCUAAAGGACUGCACAGCAUUUUAGCCUAAAGCAAUCCAUUGAAUUAUUUGCUUAGAGAACUCUUAAAAAUUUUCAAACAUCAUAAGGCGGUUUUAUGAUGGGAGUAGGAACUGAAAACAUAGCAACAAAAGAUGUUUUAAUAAUAUUGAAGAUAAACUUCUAUGCUUAGUGAACUGUUAAGGAUUCCAAGCUUUUCAAGGCCAACAGUUUGGAGUUAACUGUAAUAUCAACAAUAAGGGAGGGAUUGCAGCCCAUGGUUCAGUAAAACCUAAACAGAAGCAUCAGAUAUGUCGAUCUUAUCGCACAGCCUGAAACAAAGGUGGCUUUUGUCAACCUGCAGGGUAAAGAACAAACAUGCCAGCCACUAAGACCACAUCAGAAAACAUUGAAACAAACUACAGAAUGCAGCAUUAUGCUCCUAUGCCUCAUAGAAAACUCAGUCACCUCUUGAACUCACCACAAGGAUUUUCAACAGUAGAGACAGGCACAACAUGACAAGUCUCCCACUAACCCAACAUCUCAA
rnacentral:lncRNA from 1 species